CGGGUGGUACGACGAAGGGCAUACUGGUAAUUUUACUUCUUUGAAUUGUGCAAACCCGUAGUACAUACGAGUAGCUUCCUUUCAGUGCUUCUCAAUAGAGCCUUGUAGAGGUUCUAAACAUGGAAGGUCUUACACUCACUUUUCAAUUUUUCACUUCCUUUUCUCUCUCUUUUCUCAUUCAUUUUAAUGUUUGAUAUUGCUGAAUGUGUUCAUGAUCAAUUGUGUUGCCACUGGGAUUACAAGGUCGUGGCUCACUGAUCUUAUCCCAGCUGAUUCCACACUAUUCGCACCACUUAUGCUCAUCAGGUUCCAUUUUUUCAAUUAUUGAAUGAUAAUUGAGGAUUUUUGAGUUAUAGAUUGGAGUUACUUUUCGAUAUCUUUUGGGUCGCAAAAAGUUCUCCUCCAAAUUUGUAGGAGCUUUAACGGUGAAAAUGAUUUCAAGUGUGAUUUCUUUAUCAAGACGGAAGACGGAUUGUUGAAGGAGGAAGAUUGCGUACAGGCUCAGAACAAAAUAUAUUGAAAUGCAGAGUGAGACAGUGUAAAGUACUCAGAGUAGGUUAUUUUUCUCUGUUGUGGAAGUCAUUACCACGCUUGCCCAACCGCUAAACACACUGAUGUUGCAUGUGUAAAUCCCAGUUUGCUAUACUAUUUUUGUUAAUGUAUGUUUCUGAAUUGGUUUUAUAAAAGAAUCUUUAUUUUUCUAUUUCUUUAUUCUCUUCUGCAUGCCAAUGCUACUUGUUCACCUGUCACGAUCAACUGGCACUUUAUAUGUUUGGUCAAUUUUUGUAUAUAUCCACUUUAGCUUCGUUCUAUCACGCGCAGUUUUGUGGAAAGUAAAAACUGAUACAGAUUGAAUAGAUUUAUAUUCAUUAUCUUAGUUUUUCUAUAUAUUUAACCACUUAAUGGAAUAAAAAAAUUUCAGGUCCCAAGAAGAUAUGUCUUUGAACAUGAUAGACUACAUUGUGAUGAUCAUGGAAUGAUGUUGAUUCUGACUGUUUGAAGAAAGUAAAGGUUUGGAUUAAAAGAACACAUGUUAACUUAUGAUGCCUUUUUACAUCUGUUAAAUCAGAUUUUCGCUCUAAAUUUAUCUUUCUUUAAGCUAUAAUUUACUAUGGAUUUGGAAUUUCUUCUUCUUGAGCUGUGCGUCAUGCUUUCAAAAUUAUAUCAUGUAAGAUUGACAACUUUUCACACUGAUCAUUAUCAUGACCUUUUCGGUAUGCUGUGGAAUUUAAUUUUGAAUUCUGGGGGUAGUUUUGCUUUCAAGCUCCACCUUUGACUAUCCUUUGAAUGGUAUUGAAUCUCUCUUCUUUUAUACACGGGGAAUGAUAGUUGCUUUUGAGAAAGGUAAAUCACUGGUAAGUAUUUUUAAUGGGAUGAUUUCAGUGAAUAUGUUAAGAUAUUAAAUACUCCUUCCGUCCCAUUUUAAGUGUACUAGGCACGAAGUUUAAGAAAUAAAGAGAGACUUCUGAAAUAUCAUUUUAUCUUGUGAUUAUAAACUUGUCAUGUAGGAUGUUUGAAUUGUCAACCUACUAAAUAUAGAAAGAGGCACUCUUUUUGGAAAAUACCAAAAAGGAAAGUAAGUCCCUUAAAUUGGUACGGAGGGAGUACCUAAUAUUUGAAAACAUGUGCUGAAUAUUUUCUCUUUAUAAUGACUUGCUAUACAGAGCUUGAAAGAGAAGCAGUUCUUGUAUGACAUUGUUGCUAAUGGGCGAAGUGGAAUAGAUGUUGACAAAUUUGAUUACAGCGAGCGUGACACCAGAGCUUAUGGUCUUAGGGUCAUUCCUCUUCUGUGCUAAAAACAGAUGAGGGUUAGAUGCUUGUAAACAGUGUCGUCGGUCAUCAACUAAUAGUGUCACAGCCCAUUUAUUGCAUAAUGCAUGUGUAGUUGAGAUAUUGUGGGAAUGCCAAGUUUAGCGAAGAUUGAGGAACUAAAUAUCCUUAGACCAAGGAAAGUACCAUAUGCUUGAGAAUAGAGGUAAUUUAACUCAAUUAUCCUAUCCAUUUUGCUUGAUCAUUUCUUGUACAUGACACAGCGGGGUUACCGUCAGCCUGGUAAGCAAAUUCAAGAAGUAACUUCAAACAGGAAAAAGAAAGAAACCGCAAUAACUCGACCACCAGAAAUCACGACAGCAAGAUAGAAGCUGGGAAAGAAUCCUAGCUAGAAAGGGAGGUAGUAGCAUUACAAUGGUGGUUUGACAGAUUGGUCUACAUGUGCAUGGCCUGUCUUCGACGCAAAUUUUUGCUGCUCGGAUAGGACAAUAUUGUAUAUCAUCACUUAAGCUUUAUGAUGGGGAGGGUGCAAAAUCUUGCCUUGGCGAUUCAUGAAUCGACCCAAUGGAUGUGUGUCUAAAGAAUGGUCAGAUGGUUCUUGGUCUCAAUCUCUACCAAAAAAGAAGAAUGAAUGAAUGAAUGUUUUCGGAGGCUACUUUUCAGUGCUUAAUUUGAUCACCAAAGGCCUUUACAGUAAGCAAGAGAGUUAUGUAUCGGCAGACUCUUAGUUUUAUCUAUGUGAGGUUUUCAUAGUUGACACCUUUAUAAUAUUCUUUUUGAUUGCUGUAGUUGAGUUUUCACAUGAUUUCCUGUAUGUUUUUCUUAAGGGCUGCAAAAUAUGAAUCGUUUGAUUUACUUCUGUGAAAUUUGAGUCCACAAUGAGAAAAUGAGAAUGUGUGCAAGAAUAUAAUUUCAUCAGACUAAUUCUGCAAUUGGCUAGCUUAGGUGUUUUUGAGUGGUAUCAUUAGCUCAUCAAAGACUAAGGGAGGAUGGAAAUCAAAUUACCACAAGCUGAUUUCUAUAAGACUAAUGUUCUUGUAAGUGCUAUGUUUCUAAACUUGUUCUACUCUAAGCCAACAACUUUAGAAGUGUUUUAUACUAAAUGAACUUCAGUGUUGGGCAUGAGCACGGGCACGGGCCAUCUAGUUUAGUAAUAAAAUAAAGUCACUAGGCAUUGCUUAGUGGUUGCUUAAAAAAAAAAAUUAAACAAAAUUCUUUUGUUGCUUCAAAUUUUUCAUCAUUGAAGUAAUCGUUGGGGCUAACAAUUGUUACACCUCAUUUAAACAUCCUCUCUCCUUUUUAUAUUACUUGUCUACUUUUUCAUUUAUACGCUCUUUAAGAAUUCAUAUAUAAAAAUAUAUUUUUAUUAUAUUAUUUUUAUCUCUCUUUAAUUAAUUACACUCUAA